ACACACACACACACACACACACACACACACACACACACACACACAGAAUGAGAACCAUGAAUACACUUUGAGCUUGUAUGGCUAGUUAAACACACAGACAAGUCACUUUAAUUACACCAAGUGAUUAGUAUGAUCCAGUCUACUGCAUAGCCUACAGUCUCCUUUAGAUAUCCCCAUUUUACACAAUCGGCAUUUAGCCAUUUCUACAUAGGUUAACCUACAGUUUUGUUUAGUUGCUUUAUUUAGCACAAAAAAGAAAACAUUACAGGUAAAAAUGAGAACCAUUACAGGUGAAAAUGAGAACCAUUACAGGUAAAAAUGAGAACCAUUACAGGUGAAAAUGAGAACCAUUACAGGUGAAAAUGAGAACCAUUACAGGUGAAAAUGAGAACCAUUACAGGUGAAAAUGAGAACCAUUACAGGUGAAUAUGAGAACCAUUACAGGUAAAAAUGAGAACCAUUACAGGUGAAAAUGAGAACCAUUACAGG
rnacentral:lncRNA from 1 species